rnacentral:rRNA from 1 species
UACGGAAGGCAGCAGGGGGGAAUAUUGCACAAUGGGCGAAAGCCUGAUGCAGCUAUGCCGCGUGUAUGAAGAAGGCCUUAGGGUUGUAAAGUACUUUCAUCGGGGAGGAAAAAACAAAACUAAUAAUUUUAUUUCUUGACGUUACCCGAAAAAGAAGCACCGGCUAACUCCGUGCCAGCAGCCGCGGUAAUACGGAGGGUGCUAGCGUUAAUCAGAAUUACUGGGCGUAAAGAGCACGUAGGUGGUUUUUUUAAAGUCAGAUGUGAAAUCCCUGGGCUUAACCUAGGAACUGCAUUUUGAAACUGAAAUACUAGAGUAUCGUAGAGGGAGGUAGAAUUCUAGGUGUAGCGGUGAAAUGCGUAGAUAUCUGGAGGAAUACCUGUGGCGAAAGCGGCCUACUAAACGAAUCUGACAUGAGGUGACGAAAGCGGGUGGGGAGACAAACGAGGUAUUAGACUACC